AUUGAACGCUGGCGGCAGGCCUAACACAUGCAAGUCGAACGGUAACAGGAAGCAGCUUGCUGCUUCGCUGACGAGUGGCGGACGGGUGAGUAAUGUCUGGGAAGCUGCCCGAUGGAGGGGGAUAACUACUGGAAACGGUAGCUAAUACCGCAUAAUGUCGCAAGACCAAAGAGGGGGACCUUCGGGCCUCUUGCCAUCGGAUGUGCCCAGAUGGGAUUAGCUUGUUGGUGGGGUAACGGCUCACCAAGGCGACGAUCCCUAGCUGGUCUGAGAGGAUGACCAGCCACACUGGAACUGAGACACGGUCCAGACUCCUACGGGAGGCAGCAGUGGGGAAUAUUGCACAAUGGGCGCAAGCCUGAUGCAGCCAUGCCGCGUGUAUGAAGAAGGCCUUCGGGUUGUAAAGUACUUUCAGCGGGGAGGAAGGGAGUAAAGUUAAUACCUUGGCUCAUUGACGUUACCCGCAGAAGAAGCACCGGCUAACUCCGUG
rnacentral:rRNA from 1 species